AUUGAACGCUGGCGGUAUGCCUUACACAUGCAAGUCGAACGGUAGAGGGGCAACCCUUGAGAGUGGCGAACGGGUGAGUAAUACAUCGGAACGUGCCCAGUCGUGGGGGAUAACGUAGCGAAAGCUACGCUAAUACCGCAUACGACCUGAGGGUGAAAGCGGGGGAUCGCAAGACCUCGCGCGAUUGGAGCGGCCGAUGGCAGAUUAGGUAGUUGGUGGGGUAAAGGCCUACCAAGCCUGCGAUCUGUAGCUGGUCUGAGAGGACGACCAGCCACACUGGGACUGAGACACGGCCCAGACUCCUACGGGAGGCAGCAGUGGGGAAUUUUGGACAAUGGGCGAAAGCCUGAUCCAGCCAUACCGCGUGCGGGGAGAAGGCCUUCGGGUUGUAAACCGCUUUUGUCAGGGAAGAAAUCUUCUGGGUUAAUACCUCGGGAGGAUGACGGUACCUGAAGAAUAAGCACCGGCUAACUACGUGCCAGCCGCCGCGGUAAGAC
rnacentral:rRNA from 1 species